UGCAUGUGUAGAAUGAAGUGAAGCCAUUAGGUGGAACAGCGAAAAGCUCAGUAAUACAAUCAUUAUUUGGUCUACAAGAUAUAGAAUAACCUUGAUAAAUUAAGGCUAAAGCUAUUGUAGAAUAAGAGAUUGACCUAUCAGCUAGUAUGUAGGGUAAGGGCCUACGUAGGCGAUGACGGGUAACGGGGAAUUAGGGUUCUAUUCCGGAGAAGGAGGCUGAGAGAUGGCUACUAGGUCUAAGGAGAGCAGCAGGCGCGAAACUUACCCAAUGCUAUUUAGUAGUGAGGUAGUUAUAAGAAGUAGUGAAUGUAUUUUA
rnacentral:rRNA from 1 species